AACAGUGGUAUCAGAGCUAUGAUUCUAUAUGACAUGAAAUUAUAUAUAUUUUGAUUUAUAAUUUAAUUAAAAUUAUAUUUGAUAUAUGAUAUUUAAAUCUAAAAUUAAUUAUAGAUCAGAUUGCAUAAACUGGUAUAAGGUUGUCCUGCUGUAAGAUUUACCCCUUAUAGUGUAAAGAUUGUCCUAGUUUGUGCUGAUCCUUAUAAAAUUUGAUUUUAAAUUGAAGUAUGUAAAAUUUAUUUAUGAUGAUUAUUAUC
rnacentral:lncRNA from 1 species